GAAGGGACCUAGCGUAGUUCGGAAUUACUGGGCUUAAAGAGUUCGUAGGUGGUUGAAAAAGUUGGGGGGGAAAUCCCAGAGCUUAACUCUGGAACUGCCAUCAAAACUUUUCAGCUAGAGUAUGAUAGAGGAAAGCAGAAUUUCUAGUGUAGAGGUGAAAUUCGUAGAUAUUAGAAAGAAUACCAAUUGCGAAGGCAGCUUUCUGGAUCAUUACUGACACUGAGGAACGAAAGCAUGGGUAGCGAAGAGGAUUAGAUACCCUCGUAGUCCAUGCCGUAAACGAUGUGUGUUAGACGUUGGAAAUUUAUUUUCAGGGUCGCAGCGAAAGCGAUAAACACACCGCCUGGGGAGUACGACCGCAAGGUUAAAACUCAAAUGAAUUGACGGGGACCCGCACAAGUAGUGGAGCAUGUGGUUUAAUUCGAAGAUACGCGCAAAACCUUACCAACACUUGACAUGUUCGUCGCGACUUUAAGAGAUUAAAGUUUUCGGUUCGGCCGGACGAAACACAGGUGCUGCAUGGCUGUCGUCAGCUCGUGUCGUGAGAUGUUGGGUUAAGUCCCGCAACGAGCGCAACCCUCACUUUUAGUUGCCAUCAUUUAGUUGGGCACUCUGAAAGAACUGCCAGUGAUAAGCUGGAGGAAGGUGGGGAUGACGUCAAGUCCUCAUGGCCCUUACGUGUUGGGCUACACACGUGCUACAAUGGUAUCUACAACAGGAAGCAAGACUGCGAAGUUAAGCAAAUCCUUAAAAGAUACCUCAGUUCGGAUUGCACUCUGCAACUCGAGUGCAUGAAGCUGGAAUUACUAGUAAUCGUGGAUCAGCGUGCCACGGUGAAUGCGUUCCCGGGUCUU
rnacentral:rRNA from 1 species